GACGUAGGGGGCCAGCGUUGUUCGGAAUUACUGGGUGUAAAGGGUUCGUAGGCGGUGCGGCAAGUUGGGAGUGAAAUCUCUGGGCUUAACCCAGAGGCUGCUUCCAAAACUGCUGUGCUUGAGUGUGGGAGAGGCGCGUGGAAUUGCAGGUGCAGCGGUGAAAUGCGUAGAUAUCUGCAGGAACACCCGUGGCGAAAGCGGCGCGCUGGACCACUACUGACGCUGAGGAACGAAAGCUAGGGGAGCAAACAGG
rnacentral:rRNA from 1 species